rnacentral:rRNA from 1 species
ACUGCUCAGUAACACGUGGACAACCUACCCUUGGGUCUGGCAUAAUCCUGGGAAACUGGGUAUAAUUCCGGAUAGGUCACAGAUGCUGGAAUGCACUGUGGCCGAAAGCUCCGGCGCCCAAGGAUGGGUCUGCGGCCUAUCAGGGUUGUAGUGGGUGUAACGGACCUACUAGCCUACGACGGGUACGGGUUGUGAGAGCAAGAGCCCGGAGAUGGAUUCUGAGACACGAAUCCAGGCCCUACGGGGUGCAGCAGGCGCGAAAACUUUACAAUGCGGGAAACCGUGAUAAGGGAAUCUCGAGUGCCAGCAUAUAAUGUUGGCUGUCCAGAUGCCUAAAAAGCAUCUGUUAGCAAGGGCCGGGCAAGACCGGUGCCAGCCGCCGCGGUAACACCGGCGGCCCGAGUGAUAACCGCUUUUAUUGGGUCUAAAGGGUCUGUAGCCGGCCAAGUAAGUCCCUUGGGAAAUCUGGCAGCUUAACUGUCAGGCUGCUAGGGGAUACUGCUAGGCUUGGGACCGGGAGAGGUGAGAGGUACCUUGGGGGUAGGGGUGAAAUCUUGUGAUCCUCGGGGGACCACCAGUGGCGAAGGCGUCUCACCAGAACGGGUCCGACGGUAAGGGACGAAAGCUAGGGGCACGAACCGGAUUAGAUACCCGGGUAGUCCUAGCCGUAAACGAUGCUCGCUAGGUGUCAGUCACGGUGCGACCGUGAUUGGUGCCGUAGGGAAGCCGUGAAGCGAGCCACCUGGGAAGUAUGGCCGCAAGGCUGAAACUUAAAGGAAUUGGCGGGGGAGCAC